ensembl:snRNA U6 U6 spliceosomal RNA
AUGCUCACUUCAAUAACACAUAUCAUAAAACUGGAAUGAUACAAAGAAGAUUAGUAUGACUCCUGAGCAAGGAUUACACUCAAAUUUGUGAAGCAUUCCAUUUUUUU